AACGACGCUGGCGGCAGGCUUAACACAUGCAAGUCGAACGGGUGUAGCAAUACAUCAGUGGCAGACGGGUGAGUAACACGUGGGAACCUUCCUAGGGGUACGGAACAACUCAGGGAAACUUGAGCUAAUACCGUAUACGUCCGUGAGGAGAAAGAUUUAUCGCCCUUAGACGGGCCCGCGUCGGAUUAGCUAGUUGGUGGGGUAACGGCCUACCAAGGCGACGAUCCGUAGCUGAUCUUAGAGGAUGAUCAGCCACACUGGGACUGAGACACGGCCCAGACUCCUACGGGAGGCAGCAGUGGGGAAUCUUGGACAAUGGGCGCAAGCCUGAUCCAGCCAUGCCGCGUGAGUGAAGAAGGUCUUCGGAUUGUAAAGCUCUUUUGCCAGGGACGAUAAUGACGGUACCUGGAGAAUAAGCCCCGGCAAACUUCGUG
rnacentral:rRNA from 1 species